CCAAAACCCGCGGCUCAACGUAGCGGAGGGCAAGGAAGGCGCCGUUACCGUAGACGCGGACCGUCCUGGUGUCCUGCACCAUGGACCUCCCGUUGGAGGCUUGGACGCUCACUGAAGUCCGGCCCGCCUCUGGGAAACUGAAUAUUUCCCGAGGGGCAUUUAUUUACCUGCAGGCUGUCUCCGAUCCACCAGUAGAAGACGGUCAGGUUGGCCUCGGCGGGAAGGACGACGGCCGUCAGGUUGACCUGCCGGUUUCUCCCGGCGAUGGGGAUCACUUCCAGUUGCAGGUUCGAUCAUCCUCGAGUCUGGAGAUGGAUGCAAUGUGUUUCACCGCCACUAGAGGCUGCCAGAGGACAUUGUUUUGCAUAUUUACAUCCAAGCAUCUUUCCCUGACCUGUGACCUGGAUGUACAUGCUGGC